rnacentral:rRNA from 1 species
AGCAGCCGCGGUAAUUCCAGCUCCAAUAGCGUAUAUUAAAGUUGUUGCAGUUAAAAAGCUCGUAGUUGAAUUUCGGGGUUAGCAGGUCGGUCGUGCCAUCGGUAUGAACUGGUCUCGCUGAUCUCUCCCUCUUGACGAACUGUGAUGCCAUUAAUUUGGUGUCGCAGGGAAUCAGGACUGUUACUUUGAAAAAAUUAGAGUGUUUAAAGCAGGCUCACGCUUGAAUACAUUAGCAUGGAAUAAUGAAAUAGGACGUUUGAUCCUAUUUUGUUGGUUUCUAGGAUUGACGUAAUGAUUAAUAGGGAUAGUUGGGGGCAUUAGUAUUCAAUUGUCAGAGGUGAAAUUCUUGGAUUUAUUGAAGACUAACUACUGCGAAAGCAUUUGCCAAGGAUGUUUUCAUUAAUCAAGAACGAAAGUUAGGGGAUCGAAGACGAUCAGAUACCGUCGUAGUCUUAACCAUAAACUAUGCCGACUAGGGAUCGGAUGAUGUUAAUUUUUAAUGACUCA